rnacentral:rRNA from 1 species
AGUGAACGCUGGCGGUAGGCCUAGCACAUGCAAGUCGAACGGCAGCACAGUAAGAGCUUGCUCUUACGGGUGGCGAGUGGCGGACGGGUGAGGAAUACAUCGGAAUCUACUUUUUCGUGGGGGAUAACGUAGGGAAACUUACGCUAAUACCGCAUACGACCUACGGGUGAAAGCAGGGGAUCUUCGGACCUUGCGCGAUUGAAUGAGCCGAUGUCGGAUUAGCUAGUUGGCGGGGUAAAGGCCCACCAAGGCGACGAUCCGUAGCUGGUCUGAGAGGAUGAUCAGCCACACUGGAACUGAGACACGGUCCAGACUCCUACGAUGGGCAGCAGUGGGGAAUAUUGGACAAUGGGCGGAAGCCUGAUCCAGCCAUACCGCGUGAGUGAAGAAGGCCUUCGGGUUGUAAAGCCCUUUUGUUGGGAAAGAAAAGCAGCAGGUUAAUACCCCGCUGUUCUGACGGUACCCAAAGAAUAAGCACCGGCUAACUUCGUG